rnacentral:rRNA from 1 species
AGCGAACGCUGGCGGCAGGCCUAACACAUGCAAGUCGAACGAACUCUUCGGAGUUAGUGGCGGACGGGUGAGUAACACGUGGGAACGUGCCUUUUGGUUCGGAAUAACUCAGGGAAACUUGUGCUAAUACCGAAUGUGCCCUUCGGGGGAAAGAUUUAUCGCCCUUAGAGCGGCCCGCGUCUGAUUAGCUAGUUGGUGAGGUAACGGCUCACCAAGGCGACGAUCAGUAGCUGGUCUGAGAGGAUGACCAGCCACACUGGGACUGAGACACGGCCCAGACUCCUACGGGAGGCAGCAGUGGGGAAUCUUGCGCAAUGGGCGAAAGCCUGACGCAGCCAUGCCGCGUGAAUGAUGAAGGUCUUAGGAUUGUAAAAUUCUUUCACCGGGGACGAUAAUGACGGUACCCGGAGAAGGAGCCCCGGCUAACUUCGUG